UGGGUGACAGAGUGAGACUCUGUCUCAAAAAAAGAAAGAGUGUUUUCUCCCUCCACCUGUCCCACCACCCAGCCUAGAAGGAAGACUGUCUACCAGCCUGUGGAUCAUCUCUAUCCUCCAGGAGGUGUGGAGGGGCUGGCCCAGGAGGACAUUACAUAUGUCAGGACCCACAGUCAGGCACUCCUUCAGGAGGCAGGAGACGGAGGAGCAGCGAAGGAAGCUGUGGGAGCAGGGCAGCGGCAGGGGGUACAGAGGAAAGAAGAGGAGUCACAACAAAGGACAGAGGUAAAGGAGGAGCAAGUCAGAGCUCCAAGACUCAGGUUUUGCACACCCACAAAUUCCAUUUCCAAAGACCUGAUGGAGACUUUGAGUCCCUUCCCUGGAUUGCAGCCUCCCAGCAGAGCUCAAACAGAACACAC
rnacentral:lncRNA from 1 species